ensembl:lncRNA
AUGGUGGCAGUUGCUGUGCUUGGAGCUGUAGCUGAGAUAUCAGCUGGAACUGUAGUGGUGGCCAGAACAUUCAUGGUUGUAAUGGGUGCAGAUGGGGUUCUUGGAGAUUCAGUUGUUUUUGUUGGAGUUAAAGUUGGUAAUAUAGUUACAUGUGAUGAGGAGAUAGGCAAAAUUGUUACAGCAAUAGUUAUGAUCUCUGGAGACACAGUUGUGAUUAUUGGAGGUGCAUUUGUUGUGGUAAUGUGUGUUGCCUGGCUUAGAGCUGGAACUAUAUUAGUGAAAGCAACAGUUGUGCUUGAUAGAGGUGCAGUUGUUAUUUGGAAUGCAGUUGUUGUUGCCACUGUAGGAGUGUUCUUGCUUGAUGUCGUUGGAUCAUUAGUUGUUUUAGAUGUGGUUGAUGAAGCUGUAGUUGUGGUCUCUGCUGUUGUACUUUCUGAAGUGGUAGGCAGUGUUGUUGAAGUAAUGGGUGUGGUUUCUGUACUCACAACUGUGGAGGUGGGAGUUUCAGUAGUUGGGGAUGCUGUAGUUAUUGAUCUUGUUACAGGUGCAGUUGUUUCUGAAGAUGUAGGCAUUGUUGAAGUAAGAGUUGUGGAUUCUGAAGUUACAGCUGUUGAUGUUGCUGGAUUGUUUGUUUUUGUAGAUGUGGUUGAUGAAGCUGUAGUUGUGGUUUCUGCUGUUGUACUUUCUGAAGUUGCAGGCAGUGUUGUUGAAGUAGUAGUUGUGGUUUCUGUAUUUACAACUGUGGUUUCUGCUGUUGUUCUUUCUGAAGUUGUAGGCAUUGUUUUUGAAGUAAUAGGUGUGGUUCCUGUACUCACAACUGUGGUGGUGGGAAUUUCAGUAGUUGAGGAUGCUGUAGUUACUGAUGUUGUUACAGGUGCAGUUGUUUCUGAAGAUGUAGGCAUUGCUGAAGUAAGAGUUGUGGAUUCUGAAGCUACAGCUGCUGAUGAUGUUGGAUCAUUUGUUGUUGUAGAUGUGGUCGAUGAAGCUGUAGUUGUGGUCUCUGCUGUUGUACUUUCUGAAGUUGCAGGCAGUGUUGUUGAAGUAAUGGGUGUGGUUUCGGUCCUCACAACUGUGGUGGUUGGAAUUUCAGUAGUUGAGGAUGCUGUAGUUACUGAUGUUGUUACAGGUGCAGUUGUUUCUGAAGAUGUAGGCAUUGCUGAAGUAAGAGUUGUGGAUUCUGAAGUUACAGCUGCAGAUGUUGUUGGAUCAUUUGUUGUUGAAGAUGUGGUUGAUGAAUCUGUAGUUGUGGUCUCUGCUGUUAUACUUUUUGAAUUUGUAGGCAUUGCUGUUGAAGUAAGUGUUGGGGAUUCUGAAGUUACUGCUGUUGAUGUUCUUGGAUUGUUUGUUAUUGUAGAUGUCCUUGAAGAAGCUGUAGUGGUGGUUUCCACUGUUGUACUUUCUGAAGUUGUAGGCAGUGUUGUUGAAGUAAUGGGUGUGGUUUCGGUCCUCACAACUGCGGUUGUGGGAAUUUCAGUAAAUGAGGAAGCUGUAGUUACUAAUGUUGUUACAGGUGCAGUUGUAUCUGAAGAUGUAGGCAUGGUUGUUGAAGUAAGAGUUGUGGGUUCAGAAGUUACAGCUGCUGAUGUUGGUGGAUCAUUUAUUGUUGUAGAUGUGGUUGAUGAAGCAGUAGUUGUGGUCUCUGCUGUUGUUCUUUCUGAAGUCACAGGCAGUGUUGUUGAAGUAAUAGUUGUGGUUUCAGUCCUCACAACAAUGCUUGUGGGACUUUCAGUAGUUGAGUGUGCUGUAGUUACUGAUGUUGUUACAGGUGCAGUUGUUUCUGAAGAUGUAGGCAUAGUUGUUGAAGUAAGAGUUGUGGGUUCAGAAGUUGCAGCUGUUGAUGUUGUUGGAUCGUUUGUUGCUGUAGAUUUGGUUGAUGAAGCUGUAGUCGUGGGUUCCGCUCUUGUACUUUCUGAAGUUGUAGACAAUGUUGUUGAAGUAAAUGUUGUGGAUUCUGAAGUUACUGCUGUUGAUGUUGUUGGAUCGUUUGUUGUUGUAGAUGUGGUUGAUGAAGCUGUAGACGUGGUUUCCACUGUUGUACUUUCUGAAGUUGUAGGCAGUGUUGUUGAAGUAAUAGGUGUGGUUCCUGUACUCACAACUGUGGUGGUGGGAAUUUCAGUAGUUGAGGAUGCUGUAGUUACUGAUGUUGUUACAGGUGCAGUUGUUUCUGAAGAUGUAGGCAUUGCUGAAGUAAGAGUUGUGGAUUCUGAAGCUACAGCUGCUGAUGAUGUUGGAUCAUUUGUUGUUGUAGAUGUGGUCGAUGAAGCUGUAGUUGUGGUCUCUGCUGUUGUACUUUCUGAAGUUGCAGGCAGUGUUGUUGAAGUAAUGGGUGUGGUUUCGGUCCUCACAACUGUGGUGGUUGGAAUUUCAGUAGUUGAGGAUGCUGUAGUUACUGAUGUUGUUACAGGUGCAGUUGUUUCUGAAGAUGUAGGCAUUGCUGAAGUAAGAGUUGUGGAUUCUGAAGUUACAGCUGCAGAUGUUGUUGGAUCAUUUGUUGUUGAAGAUGUGGUUGAUGAAUCUGUAGUUGUGGUCUCUGCUGUUAUACUUUUUGAAUUUGUAGGCAUUGCUGUUGAAGUAAGUGUUGGGGAUUCUGAAGUUACUGCUGUUGAUGUUCUUGGAUUGUUUGUUAUUGUAGAUGUCCUUGAAGAAGCUGUAGUGGUGGUUUCCACUGUUGUACUUUCUGAAGUUGUAGGCAGUGUUGUUGAAGUAGUGGGUGUGGUUUCGGUCCUCACAACUGCGGUUGUGGGAAUUUCAGUAAAUGAGGAAGCUGUAGUUACUAAUGUUGUUACAGGUGCAGUUGUAUCUGAAGAUGUAGGCAUGGUUGUUGAAGUAAGAGUUGUGGGUUCAGAAGUUACAGCUGCUGAUGUUGGUGGAUCAUUUAUUGUUGUAGAUGUGGUUGAUGAAGCAGUAGUUGUGGUCUCUGCUGUUGUUCUUUCUGAAGUCACAGGCAGUGUUGUUGAAGUAAUAGUUGUGGUUUCAGUCCUCACAACAAUGCUUGUGGGACUUUCAGUAGUUGAGUGUGCUGUAGUUACUGAUGUUGUUACAGGUGCAGUUGUUUCUGAAGAUGUAGGCAUAGUUGUUGAAGUAAGAGUUGUGGGUUCAGAAGUUGCAGCUGUUGAUGUUGUUGGAUCGUUUGUUGCUGUAGAUUUGGUUGAUGAAGCUGUAGUCGUGGUUUCCACUGUUGUACUUUCUGAAGUUGUAGGCAGUGUUGUUGAAGUAAUAGGUGUGGUCUCUGUACUCACAACUGUGGUGGUGGGAAUUUCAGUAGUUGAGGAUACUGUAGUUACUAAUGUUGUAACAGGUGCAGUUGUUUCUGAAGAUGUAGGCAUUUUUGAAGUAAGAGUUGUGGAUUCUGAAGCUACAGCUGCUGAUGAUGUUGGAUCAUUUGUUGUUGUAGAUGUGAUUGAUGAAGCUGUAGUUGUGGUCUCUGCUGUUGUACUUUCUGAAGUUGCAGGCAGUGUUGUUGAAGUAAUGGGUGUGGUUUCGGUCCUCACAACUGUGGUGGUGGGAAUUUCAGUAGUUGAGGAUGCUGUAGUUACUGAUGUUGUUACAGGUGUGGUUGUUUCUGAAGAUGUAGGCAUGGUUGUUGAAGUAAGAGUUGUGGGUUCAGAAGUUACAGCUGCUGAUGUUGUUGGAUCAUUUAUUGUUGUAGAUGUGGUUGAUGAAGCUGUAGUUGUGGUCUCUGCUGAUAUUCUUUCUGAAGUCAUAGGCAGUGUUGUUGAAGUAACAGUUGUGGUUUCAGUCCUCACAACUGUGCUUGAGGGACUUUCAGUAGUUGAGUGUGCUGUAGUUACUGAUGUUGUUAUAGGUGCAGUUGUUUCUGAAGAUGUAGGUAAAGUUGUUGAAAUAAGAUCUGUGGAUUCUGAAGUUACAGCUGUUGAUGUUGUUGGAUCGUUUGUUGUUGUAGAUGUGGUUGAUGAAGCUGUAGACGUGGUUUCCACUGUUGUACUUUCUGAAGUUGUAGGCAGUGUUGUUGAAGUAAUAGGUGUGGUCUCUGUACUCACAACUGCGGUUGUGGGAAUUUCAGUAGAUGAGGAAGCUGUAUUUACUGAUGUUGUUACAGGUGCAGUUGUAUCUGAAGAUGUAGGCAUGGUUGUUGAAGUAAGAGUUGUGGGUUCAGAAGUUACAGCUGCUGAUGCUGUUGGAUCAUUUAUUGUUGUAGAUGUGGUUGAUGAAGCUGUAGUCGUAGGUUCCGAUCUUGUACUUUCUGAAGUUGUAGGCAAUGUUGUUGAAAUAAAUGUUGUGGAUUCUGGAGUUACUGGUGUUGAUGUUGUUGGAUCGUUUUUUGUUGUAGAUGUGGUUGAUGAAGCUGUAGUUGUGGUCUCUGCUGUUGUUCUUUCUGAAGUCACAGGCAGUGUUGUUGAAGUAAUAGUUGUGGUUUCAGUCCUCACAACUGUGCUUGUGGGAAUUUCAGUAGUUGAGGAUACUGUAGUUACUAAUGUUGUAACAGGUGCAGUUGUUUCUGAAGAUGUAGGCAUUUUUGAAGUAAGAGUUGUGGAUUCUGAAGCUACAGCUGCUGAUGAUGUUGGAUCAUUUGUUGUUGUAGAUGUGAUUGAUGAAGCUGUAGUUGUGGUCUCUGCUGUUGUACUUUCUGAAGUUGCAGGCAGUGUUGUUGAAGUAAUGGGUGUGGUUUCGGUCCUCACAACUGUGGUGGUGGGAAUUUCAGUAGUUGAGGAUGCUGUAGUUACUGAUGUUGUUACAGGUGUGGUUGUUUCUGAAGAUGUAGGCAUGGUUGUUGAAGUAAGAGUUGUGGGUUCAGAAGUUACAGCUGCUGAUGUUGUUGGAUCAUUUAUUGUUGUAGAUGUGGUUGAUGAAGCAGUAGUUGUGGUCUCUGCUGUUGUUCUUUCUGAAGUCACAGGCAGUGUUGUUGAAGUAAUAGUUGUGGUUUCAGUCCUCACAACAAUGCUUGUGGGACUUUCAGUAGUUGAGUGUGCUGUAGUUACUGAUGUUGUUACAGGUGCAGUUGUUUCUGAAGAUGUAGGCAUAGUUGUUGAAGUAAGAGUUGUGGGUUCAGAAGUUGCAGCUGUUGAUGUUGUUGGAUCGUUUGUUGCUGUAGAUUUGGUUGAUGAAGCUGUAGUCAUGGGUUCCGCUCUUGUACUUUCUGAAGUUGUAGACAAUGUUGUUGAAGUAAUAGGUGUGGUCUCUGUACUCACAACUGUGGUGGUGGGAAUUUCAGUAGUUGAGGAUACUGUAGUUACUAAUGUUGUAACAGGUGCAGUUGUUUCUGAAGAUGUAGGCAUUUUUGAAGUAAGAGUUGUGGAUUCUGAAGCUACAGCUGCUGAUGAUGUUGGAUCAUUUGUUGUUGUAGAUGUGAUUGAUGAAGCUGUAGUUGUGGUCUCUGCUCUUGUACUUUCUGAAGUUGCAGGCAGUGUUGUUGAAGUAAUGGGUGUGGUUUCGGUCCUCACAACUGUGGUGGUGGGAAUUUCAGUAGUUGAGGAUGCUGUAGUUACUGAUGUUGUUACAGGUGUGGUUGCUUCUGAAGAUGUAGGCAUGGUUGUUGAAGUAAGAGUUGUGGGUUCAGAAGUUACAGCUGCUGAUGUUGUUGGAUCAUUUAUUGUUGUAGAUGUGGUUGAUGAAGCUGUAGUUGUGGUCUCUGCUGAUAUUCUUUCUGAAGUCAUAGGCAGUGUUGUUGAAGUAACAGUUGUGGUUUCAGUCCUCACAACUGUGCUUGAGGGACUUUCAGUAGUUGAGUGUGCUGUAGUUACUGAUGUUGUUAUAGGUGCAGUUGUUUCUGAAGAUGUAGGUAAAGUUGUUGAAAUAAGAUCUGUGGAUUCUGAAGUUACAGCUGUUGAUGUUGUUGGAUCGUUUGUUGUUGUAGAUGUGGUUGAUGAAGCUGUAGAUGUGGUUUCCACUGUUGUACUUUCUGAAGUUGUAGGCAGUGUUGUUGAAGUAAUAGGUGUGGUCUCUGUACUCACAACUGCGGUUGUGGGAAUUUCAGUAGAUGAGGAAGCUGUAUUUACUGAUGUUGUUACAGGUGCAGUUGUAUCUGAAGAUGUAGGCAUGGUUGUUGAAGUAAGAGUUGUGGGUUCAGAAGUUACAGCUGCUGAUGCUGUUGGAUCAUUUAUUGUUGUAGAUGUGGUUGAUGAAGCUGUAGUUGUGGUCUCUGCUGUUGUUCUUUCUGAAGUCACAGGCAGUGUUGUUGAAGUAAUAGUUGUGGUUUCAUCCUCACAACUGUGCUUGUGGGACUUUCAGUAGUUGAGUGUGCUGUAGUUACUGAUGUAGGUGCAGUUGUUUCUGAAGAUGUAGGCAUAGUUGUUGAAGUAAGAGUUGUGGAUUCUGAAGUUACAGCUGUUGAUGUUGUUGGAUCAUUUGUUGUUGUAAAUGUUGUUGUUGAAGCUGUAGUCGUGAUUUCCACUGUUGUACUUUCUGAAGUUGUAGGCAGUGUUGUUGAAGUAAUAGAUGUGGUCUCUGUACUCACAACUGUGGUUGUGGAAAUUUCAGUAGUUGAGGAUGCUGUAUUUACUGAUGUUGUUACAGGUGCAGUUGUUUCUGAAGAUGUAGGCAUAGUUGUUGAAGUAAGAGUUGUGGGUUCAGAAGUUACAGAUGUUGAUGUUGUUGGAUCGUCUGUUGCUGUAGAUGUGGUUGAUGAAGCUGUAUUUGUGGUUUCUGCUGUUGUACUUUCUGAAGUCAUAGGCAGUGUUGUUGAAGUAAUAGGUGUGGUCUCUGUACUCACAACUGCGGUUGUGGGAAUUUCAGUAGAUGUGGAAGCUGUAGUUACUGAUGUUGUUACAGGUGCAGUUGUUUCCGAAGAUGUAGGCAAAGUUGUUGAAAUAAGAUUUGUGGAUUCUGAAGUUACAGCAUUUGAUGUUGUUGGAUCGUUUGUUGUUGUAGAUGUGGUUGACGAAGCUGUAGUCGUGGUCUCUGCUGUUGUACUUUCUGAAGUUGUAGGCAUAGUUGUUGAAGUAAGAGUUGUGGGUUCAGAAGUUACAGCUGUUGAUGUUGUUGGAUCGUCUGUUGCUGUAGAUGUGGUUGAUGAAGCUGUAUUCGUGGUUUCUGCUGUUGUACUUUCUGAAGUCAUAGGCAGUGUUGUUGAAGUAACAGGUGUGGUCUCUGUACUCACAACUGCGGUUGUGGGAAUUUCAGUAGAUGUGGAAGCUGUAGUUACUGAUGUUGUUACAGGUGCAGUUGUUUCCGAAGAUGUAGGCAUAGUUGUUGAAGUAAGAGUUGUGGGUUCAGAAGUUACAGCUGUUGAUGUCGUUGGAUCAUUUGUUGUUGUAGAUGUGGUUGAUGAAGCUGUAGUUGUGGUUUCUAUUGUUGUACUUUCUGAAGUUGUAGGCAUUGUUGUUGAAGUAAUAGUUGUGGUUUCUGUACUCACAACUGUGCUUGUGGGACUUUCAGUAGUUGAGUGUGUUGUAGUUACUGAUGUUGUUAUAGGUGCAGUUGUUUCUGAAGAUGUAACCAUAGUUGUUGAAGUAAGAUUUGUGAAUUCUGAAGUUACAGCUCUUGAUGUUGUUGGAUCGUUUGUUGUUGUAGAUGUGGUUGAUGAAGCUGUAGUCAUGGGUUCCACUGUUGUACUUUCUGAAGUUGUAGGCAGUGUUGUUGAAGUAAUAGGUGUGGUCUCUGUACUCACAACUGCGGUUGUGGGAAUUUCAGUAGAUGAGGAAGCUGUAUUUACUGAUGUUGUUACAGGUGCAGUUGUAUCUGAAGAUGUAGGCAUGGUUGUUGAAGUAAGAGUUGUGGGUUCAGAAGUUACAGCUGCUGAUGUUGUUGGAUCAUUUAUUGUUGUAGAUGUGGUUGAUGAAGCUGUAGUCGUAGGUUCCGAUCUUGUACUUUCUGAAGUUGUAGGCAAUGUUGUUGAAAUAAAUGUUGUGGAUUCUGGAGUUACUGGUGUUGAUGUUGUUGGAUCGUUUGUUGUUGUAGAUGUGGUUGAUGAAGCUGUAGUUGUGGUCUCUGCUGUUGUUCUUUCUGAAGUCACAGGCAGUGUUGUUGAAGUAAUAGUUGUGGUUUCAGUCCUCACAACUGUGCUUGUGGGACUUUCAGUAGUUGAGUGUGCUGUAGUUACUGAUGUUGUUACAGGUGCAGUUGUUUCUGAAGAUGUAGGCAUAGUUGUUGAAGUAAGAGUUGUGGAUUCUGAAGUUACAGCUGUUGAUGUUGUUGGAUCAUUUGUUGUUGUAAAUGUGGUUGAUGAAGCUUUAGUCGUGAUUUCCACUGUUGUACUUUCUGAAGUUGUAGGCAGUGUUGUUGAAGUAAUGGGUGGUCUCUGUACUCACAACUGCGGUUGUGGGAAUUUCAGUAGAUGUGGAAGCUGUAGUUACUGAUGUUGUUACAGGUGCAGUUGUUUCCGAAGAUGUAGGCAAAGUUGUUGAAAUAAGAUUUGUGGAUUCUGAAGUUACAGCAUUUGAUGUUGUUGGAUCGUUUGUUGUUGUAGAUGUGGUUGAUGAAGCUGUAGUCGUGGUCUCUGCUGUUGUACUUUCUGAAGUUGUAGGCAGUGUUGUUGAAGUAAUGGGUGUGUUUUCGGUCCUCACAACUGUGGUGGUGGGAAUUUCAGUAGUUGAUGAUGCUGUAUUUACUGAUGUUGUUACAGGUGCAGUUGUUUCUGAAGAUGUAGGCAUAGUUGUUGAAGUAAGAGUUGUGGGUUCAGAAGUUACAGCUGUUGAUGUUGUUGGAUCGUCUGUUGCUGUAGAUGUGGUUGAUGAAGCUGUAUUCGUGGUUUCUGCUGUUGUACUUUCUGAAGUCAUAGGCAGUGUUGUUGAAGUAAUAGGUGUGGUCUCUGUACUCACAACUGCGGUUGUGGGAAUUUCACUAGUUGACAAUGCUGUAGUUGUUGAUGUUGUUACAGGUGCAGUUGUUUCUGAUGAUGUAGGUAUUGUUGUUGAAGUAAGAGUUGUGGAUUCUGAUGUUACAGCUAUUGAUGUUUUUGGAUCGUUUCUUGUAGAUGUAGUUAAUGAAGCUGUAGUUGUGGUUUCCACUCUUUUAGCUGUAGCAGUGGAAUGUUCAGUUGUGGUUGUGGAUGCAGUAUUUGUUGUUUCAGUUACUUUUGUCUUUUCUGAAGAUGUAGUCAUGGUUGUUGAAGCAAGUCUUUCUGUAGUUAUAACCAUUGUUGCACCUGAAGAAUCUGAUGAGGUUGCAGCUGGUUUUGCUGAGGUUGAAGUGGCAAGUACAGUUGUUCUUUCUGAAGCCGUAUAUCCUGAAGUUGAAGACUCCAUUUUUGAAGCACUGGAUUUUUAAAAAGAAAAAUAAAUUAUAUACCUUUUUAAAUUAUUAUUAACUUAAAAAAAAAAAAAACAUGUUUGUAUUAGAUUAAAAAAGUAAUGACACAUAAUUGAAAUCCAAACAAUCACUUACCCAACUCUAGUCGCAGAAUUAAUAGCACACCACACAAACACUGUAAAGAGAAACAAAUUCCUGAAAACCUUUCAAGAAUCUUUGUUUAUGUUUAGCCAAAAGAAAGUAGAACACAUUCUUUAUUCCAUAUACAUAUUCCAUUAAUAUGAUAAAUUACACACAUUUUACAUUUACAAUACUUACACAGGGUGAAUAAAAGUUUCCUUGUGCCAUCCUGACUAGAAAGAAAAAAACUGCUGAAAGAGGAUACAAGACAUUAGAUAUUAUUUUAAUUGUUGUACGAUUGAUAAUUUUAUCUUUCAUAAAAUAAUUUCUACAAAUGAGUAAAAUUUCGGAUCAGCAAUUUGAGUUACACAUAAGGUAGUGCAAUAAAUAACAAAAACGUAGCGGGUAUUUGUAUCUAUAGCUGGGCUUUUGUGAUUGCAGCCAAUGAAAAUG